GUAGUCAUAUGCUUGUCUCAAAGAUUAAGCCAUGCAUGUCUAAGUAUAAGCAAUUUGUACGGUGAAACUGCGAAUGGCUCAUUAAAUCAGUUAUCGUUUAUUUGAUGGUACCUUACUACAUGGAUACCUGUGGUAAUUCUAGAGCUAAUACAUGCUUAAAACUCCAACUUCGGAAGGAGUGUAUUUAUUAGAUAAAAAACCAAUGCCCUCCGGGGCUUCUUGGUGAAUCAUAAUAACUUAACGAAUCGCAUGGCCUUGCGCCGGCGAUGGUUCAUUCAAAUUUCUGCCCUAUCAACUUUCGAUGGUAGGAUAGUGGCCUACCAUGGUGGCAACGGGUAACGGGGAAU
rnacentral:rRNA from 1 species